GCGACCCCAGGUCAGGCGGGACUACCCGCUGAGUUUAAGC
rnacentral:rRNA from 8 species